GGGCUCGUAGCUCAUCUGGUAGAGCGUCCGUUUUGCACGCGGAAGGUGGCCGGUUCGAGUCCGGCCGGGUCCA
rnacentral:tRNA from 1 species